rnacentral:RNase_P_RNA from 1 species
CGGGCUCCACAGGGCAGAGUGCCAGGUAACUCCUGGGGGGCGUGAGCCCACGGCUAGUGCAGCAGAGAGCAGACCGCCGAUGGCCGUUUACGGCACAGGUAAGGGUGAAAGGGUGCGGUAAGAGCGCACCGCGCGACUGGCAACAGAUCGUGGCACGGUAAACCCCACUCGGAGCAAGAUCAAAUAGGUCUCCUAAGGCGCGGCCCGCGCUGGAGACGGGUAGAUUGCUUGAGGCGGCUGGCGACAGUCCGUCCAGAUGAAUGACUGUCCAAGACAGAACCCGGCUUAUCGGCCAACUCACACU